rnacentral:misc_RNA from 1 species
UUGAAAAAUUACAGCUGCUGAGAACUGUGUGGAGUUUUACUCUAUUUGCCACUGACGUAACGAAUGAUAAGAUAGCUAUAAUUAAAUUAGCGGAAAGAUCCGGGAAGUCAGUGUUCCGAAAUGAUUGAUUAGCGAUAGUACCCGCCAGCGCUCUUCUUGGAAAAAAAAGAACUUUAAGUAGAAUGAAUGGACAUUCGUUGACAAUGAGUGGAGAAAGAUGUGCGAUUUGCGACAAGUUACUGAAGGAUAAAUGGGAGAUUCACUGAACGAUGUGUGACUGAUACACAGGAAAAUACAUUAAAAUAGACGACUAAUAUGUCGCUUGAAGAUACUUUCUUACACUGCUGGAAAGUAGAAUUGACAAAAAAGUAAAACAUCGUCGUGUUGACGAGAAAGUGUUAUGAGCCGGAUGUGCCUCGGGUGUGAACAACAGGCUUAGCGUCUGCUCGAAUUGCCUGUUUGUAGUUCUGUGCAGUAGCAUCUGUUCUGUUAUCAUAAAGUUAAAUGCGAUUGUAACAUGACAUAUUGCUGCGAUCGGUGCACGUAACUACGUGUUGUAAAUAUGUCUGCUAGCAGUCGUUUGGAUCGUGUUUACCGAAAUAUUUUACAGACAAAAUUUUUUACGAAAGGUUGGGGGAAUACAGAAAAUCUGAAAAGGCUGUUUGAAUUUAGAAAAGUGGUUUCAAGGCGAGAAUCUUGUUUUAACUUGGUACCCCCGGAUUAUCCCGUAUCUGUGUUCAAAGAUGAAACUGUGGGAGACUAUAGAAUCCUUGAAGGAAAUUUUUUGUCACCAUUUGUGAAGCACCUGCCCAACAUUUUGCCUAAAGAAGCAGAAACUGCCUAUUUUCAGGCUGUUCUCCCAGCUGAAUGGCAAUCAAAGCAAUACAGACCAGUAUGCAUCCAUUUGGCUGGUACAGGUGACCAUGGAUACUGGAGGAGAAGACAAAUAAUGGCUAAACCACUUAUAAAGGAAUCUGGUAUUGGUGCUGUAUUGCUGGAGAAUCCAUUUUAUGGCCUGCGAAAGCCUAAGGAUCAAGUUCGUUCCAGUCUCCAUAAUGUUUCCGACAUAUUUGUUAUGGGUGGUUGCCUGAUACUAGAAUCUCUGGCAGUUCUUCACUGGUGUGAGAAGUCUGGGUUUGGACCCCUCGGUUUAACUGGAAUAUCAAUGGGAGGACACAUGGCAUCACUGGCAGCUACAAAUUGGCCAAAGCCUAUUGUACUAGUUCCUUGUCUGUCUUGGUCUACAGCAUCAUCUGUUUUUACUGAGUCUCUUUGUAUUGAACCAACAGCCUGGUGUUGGCAGCAUCCCCCUAUAUUUGGUUAUCUCUAUUACAUGCUGGUAAACAGGAGUCCAGAUUUAUGUAAUGUUUGUGUCACAAAUAUUAGCCAAAGGAAGGGAGUUAUGAGUGAGUCCAUCAACUGGGAUUUGCUUGCAUCACAGUACUUUUCUGAUGACACCUAUAGAGAAGAAAUUCGUAAAAUGGUGACUGUGAAAGAGGAUGCAUUCCGAGCUGGACAGCAUUUUGCGAAGCAUUACCCUCAGAGUUUGGAUCGUGUCAAUGAACUGAGAAGAGAGUCACAGGUCACGGAUGCAGGUGAAAACAGUAAGGAGGUAAACAGUUCAGAACCAGUUAAAACCAGUGCAGGCUCUUUAAAUGUGACUUUAAUGUGUAAAGACAAAGGAGUGUUCACGUUUCAAAAACAAAACGGAAAUUCAGGUGCCUCCUCUAACCAGAAUUCAUCACUUGAUGUGUCAACACCAUCUGUAAAUAAACAGGAAACAGUUAAUGUGGGAGAAGUGUCACAUGUGCAGAAUAACAUUCAGGAAUGCUGUAGAACUGUUAGUGGGAACAUAAAUAAGUUAGACAAUGGUAUUCCAUAUACUCAUAGUGUGGUAUCAAAAUUAAGUAGCAACAUAUUAUCAGUGAACAUUGUUAACCAGAACCUGCCAACAACCAAAAUAAAGGAAUUACUGAGGGAUCUGAAACUCCUAGAAUCUUGGAGGAAGAAUAAUGAAGACCAGAAAAAGAAAGGUGGUACUCAGCAUCUCAAGAGGAAGUGUGAAUAUGAAGUUCUCCAGUUUAUGCGCGGCAUUAUGGAUGAGUGCACACAUUUGCAAAACUUUGAUGUUCCCGUGGAUACCUCAUUAAUUAUAGCUAUUUGUGCUCGUAAUGAUGCCUAUGUACCUCGUGACAGUUGUACUCACCUUAGUGAAAUAUGGCCUGGUGCAGAAAUACGUUACAUUGAUGCUGGUCAUGUGACUGCAUAUGUGCUUCAUCAGAGUAUUUUCAGGCUUCCCUUGUCAAAAGACCCAUGGCAUUACCCUUAUGAGCAAGGAGUACAACUAUGCUAGUAUCUUCUCAAAGGCCACAGAGAGCAGCUCUUUCAGUUGGUGUGAUGUUACUCCAUUCUGGAGCAAAUUUCAACAGCAUUUGGCAAGAUUCUCAUUGAACUUCAUCUGCAGAAUCCACAGAGAGAGGCUUAAUGGCUUCCGCAAUAGAACUGAUGAAAUCCAUUAAAGGAGAGCAGCAAUUGCGGAAUCUUUUGAACGUCUCAGAAAGAAGUACUAUUUGUGAUCAGAAGCUGGUAACUGUCAUAGUGAAACAAUUGAAUGUUGUUGUGGAAGGUGGCUUUUAAAUUGUAUUAAUUUAUAUUUUUUAUUGUAAAUAAUGGUGUAAAUUAUUUUCAUCAGUAAACUUAAUAGAUUUAGACAAAAUAAAUAUUAAAGAAUUCUGUACUGUGGUUUAAAAAUGACAGAAAAAGAGAGAGACAGAGAGAGCAGUGGUGAUGUACAAACAAUGCACAAGAAGUAUCAUGUUGAUGUUAAAAGUGAAUAUCAUUGUUGAAUUGUAGUAUUUAAUAUCAUUACUACAAUUUCUUGUUGUAGCACAUGAACAUCUGGGGUCCAAAAAUGACUGACUGGCAAUUUAUCAAUCAGUGAUUUUACAUCAGUCUUUUUACAUCAGUCUUGUAAAACUGCAAAGUGUCUAUGCCGUUUUAGUAUUUUGUAAGAUUGUAACAAAAUUGCAUCAAAUUAUUUUUUAAAGAUUUUUGAAGGACAGUCACAAGAAGUAAAUGAAUAAAUUACUGCCAUUUACUAAAGAUUUCAGAAACUAUUUAAUAGCAUAGCAGUUCAUUUUGAACAGAGGGCAUUCCACUUGAUUUAUACAGAAAUUUUGUAAACUUAACUUUGUAACUGAAGACUGCAAUUUUUGAUCUUGAUUGAACAUAAUAUUGUUGGGAAUCAUAUUUCAGAAUCACUUAUAUGAGCGGGAAACCAUGAGUAUUUUAAAAUCAGAUUAUUAUUAAUACUUUUUUACAUUAUGACUGCUAAAAUUGAAAUA